rnacentral:rRNA from 1 species
AGGACGAACGCUGGCGGCGUGCUUAACACAUGCAAGUCGAGCGGAAAGGCCCUUCGGGGUACUCGAGCGGCGAACGGGUGAGUAACACGUGAGUAAUCUGCCCUUAGCUCUGGGAUAGCUCCGGGAAACCGGGAUUAAUACCAGAUACGACCACACUAGACAUCUUCCGUGGUGGAAAGUUUUUCGGCUAGGGAUGGACUCGCGGCCUAUCAGCUAGUUGGUGAGGUAACGGCCCACCAAGGCGACGACGGGUA